rnacentral:rRNA from 1 species
UUGAACGCUGGCGGCAUGCUUUACACAUGCAAGUCGAGCGGUAACAGGCCUUCGGGUGCUGACGAGUGGCGAACGGGUGAGUAAUGCAUCGGAACGUACCCAGAGGUGGGGGAUAACGCAGCGAAAGCUGUGCUAAUACCGCAUGUGAUCUGAGGAUGAAAGCGGGGGACCGAGCAGCAAUGUUUGGCCUCGCGCCUUUGGAGCGGCCGAUGUCGGAUUAGCUAGUUGGUGGGGUAAAGGCCUACCAAGGCGACGAUCCGUAGCUGGUCUGAGAGGACGACCAGCCACACUGGGACUGAGACACGGCCCAGACUCCUACGGGAGGCAGCAGUGGGGAAUUUUGGACAAUGGGCGCAAGCCUGAUCCAGCAAUGCCGCGUGCGGGAAGAAAGCCUUCGGGUUGUAAACCGCUUUUGGCAGGAACGAAACGGUGUCCGCUAAUACCGGGCGCUAAUGACGGUACCUGCAGAAUAAGCACCGGCUAACUACGUG